rnacentral:rRNA from 1 species
GGAAGACGUCCUGAAGCGAAAGCUAUUGCCAAGUCUGUCUUCUUUAAUCAAGAACGAAAGUCAGAGGUUCGAAGGCGAUUAGAUACCGCCCUAGUUCUGACCGUAAACUAUGCCAUCUCGCGAUUCGGUAAGGUAAUUUUUUGCCUUGCCGAGGAGCGUCCCGGAAACGAAAGAUUUUCGGUUCCGGGGGUAGUAUGGUUGCAAAGCUGAAACUUAAAGAAAUUGACGGAAGGGCACCACCAGGAGUGGAGCCUGCGGCUUAAUUUGACUCAACACGGGAAAACUCACCCGGUCCGGACACCGUUAGGAUUGACAGAUUGAAAGCUCUUUCUCGAUUUGGUGGUUGGUGGUGCAUGGCCGUUCUUAGUUGGUGGAGUGAUUUGUCUGGUUUAUUCCGAUAACGAGCGAGACUCUAGCCUACUAAAUAGUUGGCAGGUUCUUGAGCCUGUUUCAACUUCUUAGAGGGAUAAGCGGUGUCGAAGCCGCACGAGAUUGAGCGAUAACAGGUCUGUGAUGCCCUUAGAUGUCCGGGGCUGCACGCGCGCUACACUGGAAGACUCGAUUGGUCCACCGGUGCCGAAAGGUACUGGUAAUCCGUUGAAACUCUUCCGUGACCGGGAUCGGGAAUUGUAAUUAUUUCCCUUGAACGAGAAUUCUAGUAAGUGUGAGUCAUCAGCUCACGCU